GACGAACGCUGGCGGCGUGCUUAACACAUGCAAGUCGAACGGAAAGGCCCUGCUUUUGUGGGGUGCUCGAGUGGCGAACGGGUGAGUAACACGUGAGUAACCUGCCCUUGACUUUGGGAUAACUUCAGGAAACUGGGGCUAAUACCGGAUAGGAGCUCCUGCUGCAUGGUGGGGGUUGGAAAGUUUCGGCGGGUGGGGAUGGACUCGCGGCUUAUCAGCUUGUUGGUGGGGUAGUGGCUUACCAAGGCUUUGACGGGUAGCCGGCCUGAGAGGGUGACCGGCCACAUUGGGACUGAGAUACGGCCCAGACUGCUACGGGAGGCAGCAGUGGGGAAUAUUGCACAAUGGGCGGAAGCCUGAUGCAGCAACGCCGCGUGCGGGAUGACGGCCUUCGGGUUGUAAACCGCUUGCGCCUGUGACGAAGCGUGAGUGACGGUAAUGGGUAAAGAAGCACCGGCUAACUACGUG
rnacentral:rRNA from 1 species